AGGCGGAAUCGCUAGUAAUCGCGGAUCAGCAUGCCGCGGUGAAUACGUUCCCAGGCCUUGUACACACCGCCCGUCACACCAUGGGAGUUGGAUUCACCCGAAGGUGGUGCGCUAACCUUUUAGGAGGCAGCCAACCACGGUGGGUUCAGCGACUGGGGUGAAGUCGUAACAAGGUAGCCGUAGGGGAACCUGCGGCUGGAUCACCUCCUUU
rnacentral:ncRNA from 1 species